rnacentral:rRNA from 1 species
UAACACGUAGGGUGCAAGCGUUGUCCGGAAUCAUUGGGCGUAAAGAGCUCGUAGGCGGCUUAGUAAGUCGGGUGUGAAAACCCCAGGCUCAACCUGGGGACGCCACCCGAUACUGCUAUAGCUAGAGUCCAGUAGGGGAGUGUGGAAUUCCCAGUGUAGCGGUGAAAUGCGCAGAUAUUGGGAGGAACACCAGCGGCGAAGGCGGCACUCUGGGCUGGUACUGACGCUGAGGAGCGAAAGCGUGGGUAGCGAACAGGAUUAGAUACCCUGGUAGUCCACGCCGUAAACGUUGGGCACUAGGUGUGGGGCCUAUUCAACGGGUUCCGUGCCGUAGCUAACGCAUUAAGUGCCCCGCCUGGGGAGUACGGCCGCAAGGCUA